UACGUAGGGGGCUAGCGUUGUCCGGAAUCAUUGGGCGUAAAGAGCGUGUAGGCGGCCCGGUAAGUCCGCUGUAAAAGUCAAAGGCUCAACCUUUGAAUGUCAGUGGAUACUGCCGGGCUAGAGUCCGGAAGAGGCGAGUGGAAUUCCCGGUGUAGCGGUGAAAUGCGCAGAUAUCGGGAGGAACACCUAUGGCGAAGGCAGCUCGCUGGGACGUUACUGACGCUGGAGACGCGAAAGCGUGGGGAGCAAACAGG
rnacentral:rRNA from 1 species